rnacentral:rRNA from 1 species
CAGUCGCCACGGGAAUACGUAGGUGGCAAGCGUUGUCCGGAAUUAUUGGGCGUAAAGGGCUCGCAGGCGGUUUCUUAAGUCUGAUGUGAAAGCCCCCGGCUCAACCGGGGAGGGUCAUUGGAAACUGGGAGACUUGAGUGCAGAAGAGGAGAGUGGAAUUCCACGUGUAGCGGUGAAAUGCGUAGAGAUGUGGAGGAACACCAGUGGCGAAGGCGACUCUCUGGUCUGUAACUGACGCUGAGGAGCGAAAGCGUGGGGAGCGAACCGGAUUAGAUACCCGCGUAGUCCCUGUCUCUUAUAA